GUCUAUCUAGUUCAGUGGUAGAGAGCAUGUGUUUACCAUGCACAAAGAUCUUGGUUCAAACCCCAGCACUGAUA
rnacentral:tRNA from 1 species